rnacentral:rRNA from 1 species
CCUACGGGUGGCAGCAGUGAGGAAUAUUGGUCAAUGGGCGCGAGCCUGAACCAGCCAAGUAGCGUGAAGGAUGAACGCCCUACGGGUUGUAACCUUCAUUUAUAAAGGAAUAAAGUGAGACACGUGUGCCUUUUUGUAUGUACUUUAUGAAUAAGGAUCGGCUAACUCCGUGUCAUCAGCCGCGGUAAUACGGAGGAUUCGAGCGUUGUCCGGAUUUAUUGGGUUUAAAGGGAGCGUAGAUGGGGUGUUAAGUCAGUUGUGAAAGUGUGGGGCUAAACCGUAAAAUUGCAAUUGAUACUGGCAGUCUUGAGUACAGUUGAGGUAGGCGGAAUUCGUGGUGUAGCGGUGAAAUGCUUAGAUAUCACGAAGAACUCCGAUUGCGAAGGCAGCUUACUAAACUGCCACUGACAUUGAUGCUCGAAAGUGUGGGUAUCAAACAGGAUUAGAUACCCGAGUAGUC